rnacentral:rRNA from 1 species
GAUAGCCAUGCUAGUCGCACGAGUUCAGACUCGUGGCGAAUAGCUCAGUAACACGUGGCCAAACUACCCUUCGGAACACAAUACCCUCGGGAAACUGAGGCUAAUAGUGUAUACCAUACCACCACUGGAAUGAGUGGUAUGCCAAACGCUCCGGCGCCGAAGGAUGUGGCUGCGGCCGAUUAGGUAGACGGUGGGGUAACGGCCCACCGUGCCAAUAAUCGGUAUGGGUCAUGAGAGUGAGAACCCAGAGACGGAAUCUGAGACAAGAUUCCGGGCCCUACGGGGCGCAGCAGGCGCGAAACCUUUACACUGCACGACAGUGCGAUAGGGGGAUCCCAAGUGCACAGGCAUAGCGCCUGUGCUUUUCGGUACCCUAAGGCGGUACCAGAAUAAGGGCUGGGCAAGACCGGUGCCAGCCGCCGCGGUAAUACCGGCAGCCCAAGUGAUGGCCGAUCUUAUUGGGCCUAAAGCGUCCGUAGCUGGCCGCGCAAGUCCAUCGGGAAAUCCACCUGCUCAACAGGUGGGCGCCCGGUAGAAACUGCGUGGCUUGGGACCGGAAGGCGCGACGGGUACGUCCGGGGUAGGAGUGAAAUCCCGUAAUCCUGGACGGACCGCCGAUGGCGAAAGCACGUCGCGAGAACGGAUCCGACAGUGAGGGACGAAAGCCAGGGUCUCGAACCGGAUUAGAUA